UGGCGGGAGGAGGAGACAGCGGGGAAAGGUGUCAGAUAAAGGAGGGCUCCCCGCCGCUCCGGAGGCAUCAUGGCCGCUAAGUCAGACGGGAGGCUGAAAAUGAAGAAGGGCAGCGACGUGGCGUUCACCCCGCUGCAGAACUCGGACCUGUCGGGCUCGGUGCAGGGACUGGCGCCGGGCUUGCCGUCGGGGUCGGGGGCCGAGGACGAGGAGGCUGCCGGGGGCGGCUGCUGCCCGGACGGCGGCGGCUGCUCGCGCUGCUGCUGCUGCUGCGCGGGGAGCGGCGGCUCGGGCGGCGGCUCCGGCGGCGGCUCGGGCGGCGGCUCCGGGGUCUCGGGCGGCCCGGGCGGCCCGGGCGGCGGCGGGGCGGGCUCGGCGGCGCUGUGCCUGCGCCUGGGCCGGGAGCGGCGGCGCUACUCGCUGUGGGACUGCCUCUGGAUCCUGGCCGCCGUGGCCGUGUACUUCGCGGACGUGGGCACGGACAUCUGGCUCGCCGUGGACUACUACUUGCGCGGCCAGCGCUGGUGGUUCGGGCUCACGCUCUUCUUCGUGGUGCUCGGCUCGCUCUCGGUGCAGGUGUUCAGCUUCCGCUGGUUCGUGCACGAUUUCAGCACCGAGGACAGCGCCCCGGCCGCAGCCGCCUCCAGCUGCCCGCAGCCCGGAGCCGAUUGCAAGACGGCGGCCGGCGGCGGGUCUGCAGCCGCGGAAGGCGAGGCUCGUCCUUCCACGCCGCAAAGGCAAGCGUCCAACGCCAGCAAGAGCAACAUCGCCGCCGCCAACAGCGGCAGCAACAGUAGCGGGGCCACCCGGGCCAGCGGCCAGCGCAGGUCUGCGUCCUGCUCCUUCUGCAUCUGGCUCCUGCAGUCGCUCAUCCACAUCUUGCAGCUCGGGCAAAUCUGGAGAUAUUUCCACACAAUCUACUUAGGUAUUCGAAGUCGACAGAGUGGGGAGAAUGACAGAUGGAGAUUUUACUGGAAAAUGGUGUAUGAGUAUGCAGAUGUGAGUAUGCUGCAUUUGCUAGCCACCUUUCUGGAAAGUGCUCCACAGCUGGUCCUGCAGCUCUGCAUUAUCGUACAGACUCAUAGAUUACAGGCCCUCCAAGGAUUCACAGCGGCAGCCUCCCUCGUGUCUUUGGCUUGGGCCUUGGCCUCUUACCAGAAGGCUCUCCGGGACUCUCGAGAUGACAAGAAGCCCAUCAGCUACAUGGCUGUUGUCAUCCAGUUCUGCUGGCAUUUCUUCACCAUUGCUGCCAGAGUCAUCACCUUCGCCCUCUUUGCCUCGGUUUUCCAGCUGUACUUUGGGAUCUUCAUUGUCCUCCACUGGUGCAUCAUGACCUUCUGGAUUGUCCACUGUGAGACAGAAUUCUGUAUCACCAAAUGGGAAGAGAUUGUGUUCGACAUGGUGGUGGGGAUCAUCUACAUCUUCAGCUGGUUCAACGUCAAGGAAGGCAGGACACGCUGCAGGCUCUUCAUUUACUAUUUUGUGAUCCUGCUGGAAAAUACAGCCUUGAGUGCCCUCUGGUACCUCUACAAGGCUCCCCCAUUUGCAGAUGCGUUUGCCAUCCCAGCACUGUGUGUGGUGUUCAGCAGCUUUUUAACUGGCGUCGUUUUUAUGCUGAUGUAUUAUGCCUUCUUUCACCCCAAUGGACCCAGAUUCGGGCAGUCACCCAGUUGUGCUUGUGAGGACCCAGUCGCUGCCUUCACCCUGCCUCCAGAAGUGGCCACCAGCACGCUCCGGUCCAUCUCCAACAACCGCAGUGUCGCCAGCGACCGCGACCAGAAAUUUGUAGAGCGGGAUGGGUGUGUACCUGUCUUUCAGGUGAGGCCCACGGCUCCGUCCACCCCGUCAUCUCGCCUGCCACGGAUUGAAGAAUCUGUCAUUAAAAUUGACCUGUUCAGGAAUAGGUACCCAGCGUGGGAGAGACACGUUUUGGACAGAAGCCUUCGAAAGGCCAUUUUAGCCUUUGAAUGUUCCCCGUCUCCUCCGAGGCUGCAGUACAAAGAUGAUGCCCUGAUCCAGGAGCGGUUGGAGUAUGAAACCACGUUAUAAGAUGCAAGGCCUUGGAGGAGCCACAACCUCCAGGUGAAGGGGUGGCAGCAGGGCCGUGGCAAUAAUGAAACUUUGUCCUAGAGCAGGGCAACGAGCUGUAAUGCGCUUCGUCUGACCCUGCAUCAGCUGACUGCCUGCUGCUGGUCUCCUUCCAAAACAGCCACUGAAGGGAAGGGAAACGGGCCAGCUCAGCAGGACUCCUUGUUGCUACCAACCCCUCCUGCCCACUUUCAGCGUGUCCACCAGAGGGUACUAUGAUCACGGAAAAUGUUGCCUCCAAUCAAUAGGGUGUUUUGAUGAAGUUAAUUGACCUUUGCAUAAAAAUAUACAGUCACACACACACACACACACACACACACACACACACACGGCACCAGUCCUCUGUCAAAAUAGCUUAGGUGAUUUUUCUUGAUGCAAAGCUCUGAUUCUGAAUAUAAAAUCAGAGAGAAAAUAUAUCCCUCAAGACUCCAGAAAAAAAAAUAGUACUACUUAGGAAAGAAUUUCAUAGACCAUUCUCAUCUGGAAACCACUACCACACGUGAAAAUCCUACCCAAUGGACAACAAACUCAACUGUUGUUUACAUGUGUAUGCGAAUCGGUAGAAUGGUUCACUUUCAACACAUUUCAGGAUCUGUCUCUUAUUUUAAGUUUUCAGUUGAGAACAUCCUCUCCGACAGAAAUCCUAUGCAGCACAUGUAUGGCUUUUGACAAGACCAGGGAGCUCUCAAUGAUUUCGUGAUGUAAACUAAAUGAUCAUCAUGAUUCAGUCUUCAGUCGCAAAAAUGUAGUAAGUACAUGAAGAGGAAGCAGGGAAACAAGGCAAAAGGAGUGUCUGAUUUCCUGGCCUGUGCAGCUCAUGCGGGCUCAUAGGUGCAGAGCAACAGGAGAGGAAUAUGCUGAACUGGAUGUUUCGAGACGUAGGGAAGCAUGGCUCUGUGUGAAUACAGGCAAGCGCGAGUCCAGAGCACGCUGCGCCACACCUUCCUAGUGCCAAACAUGUCCAACCACAGGACUGAUGUGGAAGUCCCAAACACCUGAGAACGAGUGGCAUGAGCCCCCCAAAGUGGACGUGAGAGUGCACCAUCAAGUUCCCCACUGUGUACAGACUCCCCUCUCCCCAACCCAAGGUCAAAGUGAUGUGUCUUUUAGAGGCUUUGGACACUUUUUAAAACAUCUUGGAACUUGUCAAGCUUUACGGAAGGUGAUUUGCGUUAAUUAAUGCAACAGACCCUUUAAUCUUGCAAAUUCUUGACUUGUAAUAUUGUAGCCAAGCUACCGCAAGGGAAAAUUAAUCAGUUAGUGGGAAGGAACAGUCGUGCCAUGCCGAGCCAUGCCAUGCCCGGGCCUGAAGAGAAAGACCUCUGUGAAGUAGAGCACUAAUGAAUUCAUGCUACCUGCUUCCUCAUCAUUCAUGCUAUGAAUAUUCAUCCGCUUCAUUUGUUUUUGCCAGAAAGAGCUGCUUUAAAAACAAAAAGAAAAAUGUCGAUGGAUUCCUGGGGCUCGCAUAGCUCAAAGAAUAGGUAUUGGGUCAUGGAGACUCCUGUUAAUGGAUACAAAUCUACUUGUGUUUGGAAAUGAAAAGAAAAAAUGUCAUUGUCAUCUCUUUAAUGAUUGAUCUGAGUACAGUGGCUGCCCUCACUUCGUUUCUUGAGAAUACUGUUGUCAGCGUUGUAAUAACAAAUCUAUGAAACUUGAAUCUGUAAUUCCAUUUCAGAGGUAAAAUCUGCAUGGAUGUAACUAUUCAAUAAUUUGAUUCCUGCCUUCCUGGGUGGUGGAACCUGGUGGUUUCAAACUGAGGCACAUGAGCAUGUGGAAUUGACCUUCCUGUUGUUUCUGAGAGCCUACAAAACCUCGGUUACAAGCUAUAAGGUCAUCAAGAGAGAUUCUUACUGCCUAAAUGUUCACUUAUAAGUAAACAGGUAGUUUCAGAAUUUAAACAAUCAUGGUUCUUUCCCACUUGUUUCUGUUUUCCAAGAAAGGUUUGAGCUCCAAGAUAAGGAUGAAUAUACUUCAGAUUAUAAUUUCAGGGCUUGCAAAGGAGUCAGACAUCCAGUAUGUUCUGAUAAAGUUCCUGUCUAACCUUUUGGUAGAACAAUUUUAGGAGUGAACCCUAGAAGAAUGAUGAAAGUCAUCAGGUUUUUCCAAUGAGCAACCUAACAGAAAAAUCUUGUAAAAAGAAGCAAAGAUCCUUUUUCUUGUGUUUCAAAGAUGUUUCUCCUUGCUAAGUAGACCAUCUUAGUGAUUUGAGAGCUACUGAAUGUAAUCCCAGUUACAGGUGCCAGUAUUGUGCUGCCUACCCUACUCUGUCAAAGUCAUUUUUCAGAACCAGCGCUUGGCACAAGCACUGAAAUCUAAUGGCAAAAACUGGCCUACCACCAUGUGACUUCUUUUCAAUUACAAGGCAAUGAAAACUGAUAAGUUGAAGAAAACUGUAAUUUCCUGAACUUCAAAGCCAAAAUGGGCACAAAGAGAUUCUGUAACAUACAGUGAGUUGAUUGACUGUGGGGACCCAGGAGCAAUAAACAAUCCACUUAGGCAAGGCUCAUGAGUGAGAGCAGCUAUAAGCUGUGUUGGCACAGAAGGUGAUUGAAGAGGACACCUCCCAGUAGCUCAUCAGGAAUACUUGCCUUUUUAGAGAGCAGAGGAUCAGAGUAGCCCCUGCCAUUCCAUCACUCCGAGGAUAGUUACACCCAUAUGUGAAGGGCCAAGGCAGAGGCCAGAGAAGAUGUCAGGGGCUUCAUGUCUGAGACUAACUCUGUCUAUAACAGCUCUCCUUGAUCAUUGGCCCCUAUGCUGCUAGCUAGUUCUGCAUGCCAAGAGCUUCUGAUGAAUUAUAAGAUGAGGUGUUUAAAGGUGUUGUAAGUACUCCUGCUUGUAGAACAUGAACCAUUGAAUUAUCCCUCAUUCUAACAGGAACGAGAUUCAGGGUUACUAUGGCCUUACUCAUCAUCCCAUUGUAAAUAUAUCAUGACAUCAUGAGAGCCUCUGUGUUCAAAUUCACUAAACCAGGUUUACACGUCCUAGGUCUAUGUAUCUAUCCCCAAAUUGGAAAAAUAAUUCCUUGAGGAUUAUCUUCAGAAUAAUGGAAGUGAAAAAAUGUGGACAGUUAAGUGAUUUUCACCAUGCACAAGACUACUAGAGUACUGAUAGCCCUACAGCUCUGAUUUUUUUUUCUUCUCAUGACUAAGUUUCUUUCCACUUAGGGGCCUUCAACAUCUGAAUUUUCCAGAUGAUUGUUGAACCAUCUUAACUAAACCGAAGUACACACUAUGGCAUUGUUAAACUAUAAAGUCUGUCCACAUGAAUGCAAAUAUCCCAAAGCAAAGUGAAGAAGUAGGUCACUCAAGCAGUAAAUUAGGUCUUUGUGAUGUCAAACAGUUGGAUACUUGGGAAAAUCCAGAUGUUUGAAUGAUAUGGUUUCUCAUCUGGUUGUCUGGUGUUGUCUAGAUAGACAGAAAAUGCUCAGGUGUUAUAGGUAAUGAAAUUUAACUUUCUUGUGAAGUAAUCUAUUGCUAGUGAUAUUCUGCUGCUAAAAAUCUCUUUGUUGUGCAAAGAGGAAUAAAUAAUGCAGAGCAAAUGCUAUUUGAUUUUUAUUUACUUUUGGCAAACACAUGAGUGGAAGAGGCUUGGGAGAUUGUCCUAGGGGUAUUCAGAUGUGAUUGUAGCACAGACCUCCUUCAGAAGGAAGGUUCUGGAGGCCUGCCACUGGGCUCCUUCCUGCCAAGGAAACAUUUUAUUCAGCUCCUUCCCAAUCCUUUAUAAUUCUAUCAUUGCCCCUCUGCUCUUCACAUACUCUUCAUUGUUCACAAGUCUAUUUGACUGAAUUGUUCAAGAGAAAUACAAAUUGGUUAACUUUUUAUUCUUCAAAUAGGAAGUUUUCAUUUUAAGGAUUACAUCUUCUAAGCAGAAAAAUAAACUACUCAAUGCAGUUAUUUUAUGGUGCAUGUUAUGGUGUUAACAGAAGUAAAAGGUGUUUUUCCCAAAUUAAACAGAAUGCAUAACUUUUUUUUGUUUGUUUGGUUUGCUGAUGUCAUUUUGAUUGCCAAGGACUAACUGGUUAUACAUAUUAGAAUAUUAGUGUUUCCUUUGUAGUCAUGGAAAAGAGAAAAAGGAAAAAAUGUCAUCAAAGGAAAGUUCAUUUUCCAGAAGGAAGUUUGAGAUAGUCAUAUGACUCUUGUAUCUGUGAUUACUUGUGAACAAUUUCUUCCUUGUUUCAUCUGAUUUGGCCCUGUAUUGGUGAGUGUGUGCAUUUCCUCAAAUUUGUGCUUACCUUAUUUACUGUUCUGAAGUUGGACAGAAAAACAGGCAAGCUAUUCAGACCGAUUUUCUUUCCCAUGAGCUUAUGAUGCAGAACUUGUUCUGAGGCAUCAACUGUAAGCAAGGCACACAGAGCACUGGAAGGUAUUCAGCUCUGCCAAGGUCAUGAGAGGAUUUCCAGAGAAAAUCGAAAUGUUUUGUACAUUGUUAGGUAGUGUUGUGAUUGUGUCGAAUUCUACAUUUCAGUGCCAACUUAGAAGGACUUCAUGGGGUAAUCAGUCCCCACACUUGUCGGCUCCCUCCUCCCAUCAGACGCAGAAAUCACAUCACCCCAAAAUCAAAUGGGUGCUCUCCCUUGCUUAGCAAGGGCUUCCAGCCACCAAGUGUCAAUUGCCCUAUGCUAACUGUGUUUUGUAAAUGCUCCUUUGGAUGGCAGACCUUUGGAUGCAUCUUUGGAUGGUUUGCUAGUCCCACACCUGUGAAAGCCUUCCAGCCUACAGAGCUGCUCCUUCCUGUCACAGAUGACAUACCAACCCGAUAUGGCUUUGCUUUCCUUUUUCCUUGAGAUUUUUACCUCACUAACUCCUUUUCCAAAUCUUUGUACCUUCAUGUUAUCAAUAGGAUAUUUAGUUCAAUGUUUCAGUCAACUGGCAACAAAGAGGCAACAAUCAAUUGGCAACUACAAAAACAUUAGGCACUUUUUUUGUUAUCUUUUGUUAUGUAAUAAUUGAGAGGAAGUUAUGGUUUAGUAGAAAACUAAAAAAAUCCCUGUGUUGAUUAUAAUGGCUAUUUUAAAUACUUAAAUAUAUUCUAUUAAACCAUAUCCUUUUACACUAUGAAAUCUAUUCUUUUCUGGAGACAAGAACAUGCAGGGGCCCUGUCCAGCAGUGGAAACACAGGGGCGUGGAAUCUGAGCCCCUUGAGUCCUCAUUCUUUGUUGGUCACUUAAGCCUCAGAAAUUCAUCCUCUGCCUCUUUUUUCCCCAUAUGUAAAAGAGAGAUAAUCUUUAUCUACCUACCUCAGAGUGGUGUUGUGAGGAGGAAUUAAGUUCUUAAAGUGCUUGACACUUGAUAACUAACAUUAGCAUAAAGGAGGCCUGUGUGCAGCCUUAGGAUAGGCUGCAGUGGGGGAGAUGAAGGCAGCCUAGCAACAUGACAGCAAUAAGUCACGAAGUAGAGUAUGAUCACUUAACAGAAGUGAAACUUUUUCUUCAAAGGUCUAAUAGAACUUUUUUUUAAAAUUAUCAGCUUUUAAAUGAGAAAAAUUAACUCUUUUCAUACAAACAUUUAAAAGUUUCAUAUACACUAACGAUUUUCCUCUUAGCCAAACUGAAUUUUACUAAAUAUUUAUUAAACAUAUCCAGAAGACUGGGCUCCUUCUGAUGCCUAAAGAGUUUGCAUGCCUGAUCCCAAACUCCAUUUUCCAGAAUGCCCACAUGAUGUUGGAGUUCAGAACUAAUGAUUGCCAAGUGGUGUUCUGGAACCCACUACCAGGAGGUAACAAUUUGAAUAGAUAGAUUAGAUUUUGUGUUAUUUACAGUGAGUUUCUUUUUCAUCCCUAAGAUGACACAUCUCUCCAGAUUAUAAAUAAAUUUUAAAUUUUUCAGAGACGUGUUUACACAAGGGUUUCUAUAUAGUGAUAUACAUGUAUACUUACACGUGCAUAAAUCUUAGUAUACAACUAUAGGACAAAGGAGAUGGUAGGAAAACAACUAUAGGGAACAUCCUGUACAACUUCCCCCCAAAGUAAAUGCUUUUUCUUAAAUAUUUAGUCCUAAAUAACAUGAUUUGAGGUUAUAAAUAUUUAUCAUUUUUGAGUCAUGGAGGCAAUAUUGUAAAGUAGGAAUUCACCCAUGGAAUUAUACCAACAAUUCAGAUACUGUUUUAAAGAUGUGACUUCACGGGGAAAAGUUAUGUACAUAAAUGCUGUCAUUGUGCCCUUAGUUUAUAAUUAUAUUCCUUUGCAAAAAAAAAAGUGCAUGCUCUUAAAAAUAUGAAAUAAGUUUUCAGAAAGUUUAUCUUGAUAAGUGGGUUUAAAAUCAUGUUGUGCCUGGAGGUAAUAUAGUGUAUACCUUCAACAUAAUCUCUUCUGGAUUCCAAAAUCUAGUUGCUGGUGGUAUAGCUUAAAAUUUCAGAUUGGUGAAACAUUUCUGAUGCAUGGUAUUAAACCUUUUGAAGCAUGAAUUUAACCUAGGCAAUUAUCUGAUCCAUUAAAAAAAAGUUUAUGUUGCCAUGCCAGACUUAAGAUAAAUAUCAUUUUUUAGACUCAAAAUAUGAGAAUUGUGAGUCGAAAUAAUUUGAAUUUCUGACUUUUUCCCCCAGUGCCAAAAGUUUUUCAAACCAAAAGUGUAACAGAAUGUCCUUGUUUCUGAAGGGAAAUAUCCAUGUCUUUCUUUUAUUUUUGUGCAAGAGACCUGAAUUUAACUGUACUAGAUUCAGGUGCAUGCAAAUAAGAAAAUGUAUGGCAGCCUUUUAGGGGGGUUGGCCAGGAUGAGAGGGGGCUGUGCAGAGAACUCAUCAUUGAAAGGCUGUAUGACAAAGGUACAAAACAGAAUCUAAAAGUAGUAGGGCUGUACAACUCCUUGUAAUGAUAGAAAUGAAAAUUCCUCACCAAAGAGAUGAAAAAACAGGUGUAGACAACAUGUUAUUAGACAGAAGCUACAUUAAUUACUGCAAAAAAGGAAAUUUGAACCCCUUAUAUUUUACCCUUAAGGCUUUCCAGUCCACAUGAAACUUUCCAGAGUGUUCCCUGAAAACAGUAGACUUUUUUAGAAAACUAAUUUUUAGCAGAGAUAUAUGUGACUAUACUGCCAUGGACCAGUCAUUAUAUAAUUAUGUGUAUGCAAUGCUUCAUAGAUGUAGUUGUCAACUUUUACGAUUACUUCCAGUUAAUUCUGUUCCAUAAACAUGUGGAAGAAAACACAUGGAAAACUCUUUUUUGCUCCAAAGGAAUGCCUGCUAACUUAUUUAUAGUCUCUCUUAUUCCUGGCAUAUUAAUAUCACCAAACUCCUUUCAUAUCUAGAUGGUACGAGAUCACUAAAAAAAUGAGGUUUUCAGCAAACUGCUUAUUAAGGUCUCACCUAAAGCUUCUCUUUAGUGAAGGUGGCAGAAGGAGAGGGAACAUGGGUGAGAACCUUGCCUCUAUUAAAUUGUCUCUGCUUUUCUUCUCAGUUAUCAGACAGCUCAGUAGCCUGGAGAGCAAAAUGAUGUAAGACAUGCAAAUUAGGUUUUUCCCAUUCUCAGAGCAAGGAGGGCAACCAAUGAGCCAGAGGUUACCACACCUUUGAAACCAAAUAGUACAUUGAAUUUAGGGCUAAGACAAAAAAAAAAAAAAAAGUAAAGUAUGAACAACAUCAUCCAUCCUGUUGGUUCUUUUCAUAGUUUUUACUGAAUUAUUUUUACAGUGUAGAUCAGAAGUUUCUAGUAAUGAUAAGAAAUACCAUUUUAUUUAUAGCUUCAAUACAGAAAUGGUGAAAACAUGAGUUACAAAAUUACCAGGGAUACAGACUUUGUCUGUACUGACACCUUACCUAGCAAAUUGGAAACAAAUACUAGUUAAUAUUCUGGUUUCAUUAAAAACAUCUAGUUUUUAAAAAGGAGCAUUUUGCUCAGCAUCAAACCAUUACACAAUAUAAACCUGCUUCCAAAUGGCAAGGAUUUUUGCUACUGACAUUUGUUCUUCAUUCUGCAGUUAUUUUAAGUAAAUAAUUUUCACAUCUAACUACCUCAGCUACUGUUAUUUUAUUUAGAAACAUGAAAUCAUGCACUUUGUAACCAACAAGUUUUUCAUUUAAAAAUUCAAAAGGAUACUUGGUGCAAAGCAAUUUUCAAAAAUUUGUAUAUGAUAUAAGAAACCCAACCUCAGGAGGUUGUUCUUAAUUUUGUUUAUUGGUUUCUAAGUUCGAUCGGGGUAAAAUCUCCUUUCCACUUAACACCAAGAGAAGCUGCUCUAUAUUUGCUUAAUUUGCCUUAAACAUUUUGUGCUCCUUUCCCUGUUCAAUUUUUUUUGUUUGUUUGUUUUAAAUCUAUCUCUGAAAAGAAAAUAUAACAGGUGGCAGAUGAACAUCAAACAAGAGAAUGGACCAAUCACUUCUCAGUUCCCUGUUGUCAACUCUGCAUGACAUUCUGAUUGUGCAAAAUUGCCAUUCCUGUGCUUCUCUCUCCCAUGAUCAUUCCAGAAAUAAGGUCUGAGAGAUCCCAUGUGUGUGUUUAGGGAACAGUGUAGACUUUUCCCCCAGUACAAGCACAGUGCCUGGACCCGAAUGAUAACCUUGGCAGUUCUUGUGCUUUUACUUUGUAAACAUUGUACAAAUGUAUUUGGAAUUUUAUUUGAAAUGAAGAAUUAAACUAGUUAUUAAUUUUUUUUCCUUCCUGUAAAUAUAUAUAUUCAAACUCCAUGUAUCCAAACAUUCCUUUAGCGUUCGGAUUGUAAGAGUGUCUUUAUUGGCUGGACGCCGCCAUCUCAGGCCGCGGUCCCAUGUGCUCUAGUUGAAAGCACAGUGUGUGAAGUAUUUGAUGUACUAUAAUACCAUAGUUAUUUUGGUCUGUUAAGUAAGUUGCAAAUUGUGAUGAAAUGAAGUGGAAAGUAGUGCUUCAUAAUGAACAAAUUUCCUUGGUUACAUGAUUUUUUCUUGUAAAACUUUAAAAAAAAGAAAACUUGAAAUUUUAUAUAUUUGGAUUUUGUAGAUUUUUUUUUUUAUUUUAUUGCAACACAAGGUACCAAAAUCAUUAAAUAAAGUACACUGUGGUCAUUUUAA